AUGUAAAGAGAAAUUUUAACUAGGUUGAAGAGAAAAAUAUGUCUUUAAUAUUAAUAACUUGUUUAGAAUAAGAAAUUAAGUAGGUGUAUGAAAAAUAAUUUUUGUUCAGGGCUGAUAGUAAUUUUUAGUGAAAAUCAGAGUUUAACUAGAGGGAAAAGUACUGUGAAGGAAAGUAUUAAAGCUUAAGAUAGUAGAAGUGUAAUUUUGUGCCUUGUGUAUCAGAAAAAAUUUAAAUAAUUUAAGUAUUUAAAUAUCUCGAAAUAAAAUAUAGUGAUUUUUAUAAAAUUUUCUUUUUAGAAAAAAAGAAUUUAAUAUAAAAUUAAAAGUGAAAUGCUAGUUGAGUUUUAUGAUAUCUAGUUUUUUUAGAAAAAAUUUAAUUUGAUUUUUAUGAGAAAUGCUUAUAAAAUUAAAUGGUAGGAGGGAAUAGCUUCUUAUGAAAAAAAACAUAAAAUAGUUAGGUAAAAAUUUUAAUUAUAAGUUAGGCUUAGAAGUAGCCAUAUUUAAAAAGUGUUAUAACUGGAUUAUGAUUAUUUAAAAAAUUUGUAAUAACUUUAGGAAGUAUAAAAAAAUUGAUUUUAACAAAUAUAAGUUAAGAUACAAUGAUUUUAUUAGUAGAAUUUAUUAAGAAAGCAGAAAUACAUUAAAAUAAUUAAAAAGGUUUAAAAGUUAGGAAUAUAGAUUAAUAAAAAGGAAUUCAGCAAAAAUUUUCUUUGCCUGUUUAUCAAAAACAUGUCUUUUUGAAAAUAAAAAAAGUCAAGCCUGCCCACUGAGUUGUUUAAGGGCCGCGGUAUUUUGACCGUGCGAAGGUAGCGUAAUCAUUAGGUUUUUAAUUGAAAUCUUGUAUGAAUGGUUAGACAAGAGAAAAUCUGUCUCUUUAUUAAAAAUUGAAUUUAACUUUUAAGUGAAAAGGCUUAAAUAAAUUAGAGGGACGAUAAGACCCUAUAAAGCUUUGAUAUAAAUUAUUAUUUAGUUGAAGUUAGAGUAAAGAUUUUAUAAUAUAUUUUAUUUUAUUGGGGUGAUAAAAGUAAAAUGUUUAUUAACUGCUUUCAUAAUAAGACAAUUAUAGUUGAGGUAGAUUUAUAAAAGAUCCUAAAUAAAGAUUACAAGUUUAAGUUACUUUAGGGAUAACAGCGUUAUUUUUUUUGAGAGUACAUAUCGAAAAGAGAGUUUGCGACCUCGAUGUUGAAUUAAAAUUUCUUUAUAGAAGCAGAAACUAUAAGAGUUGGUCUGUUCGACCUUUAAAAUUUUACAUGAUUUGAGUUCAAACCGGCGUGAGCCAGGUUGGUUUCUAUCUUUUAAUAUAGAAUAAGAUUACUUUAGUACGAAAGGAUUGAGUAGUCAAAAUUUUUUUUAUGUUGAUUAA
rnacentral:rRNA from 1 species